AACGAACGCUGGCGGCAGGCUUAACACAUGCAAGUCGAGGGGUAUAGGUUUUCGGACCUAGAGACCGGCGCACGGGUGCGUAACGCGUAUGCAAUCUACCUUUUACAGAGGGAUAGCCCAGAGAAAUUUGGAUUAAUACCUCAUAGUAUUAUAGAGUGGCAUCACUUUAUAAUUAAAGUUCCAACGGUAAAAGAUGAGCAUGCGUCCCAUUAGCUAGAUGGUAAGGUAACGGCUUACCAUGGCGACGAUGGGUAGGGGUCCUGAGAGGGAGAUCCCCCACACUGGUACUGAGACACGGACCAGACUCCUACGGGAGGCAGCAGUGAGGAAUAUUGGUCAAUGGGCGCAAGCCUGAACCAGCCAUGCCGCGUGCAGGAUGACGGUCCUAUGGAUUGUAAACUGCUUUUGUACAGGAAGAAACACUGGUUCGUGAACCAGCUUGACGGUACUGUAAGAAUAAGGAUCGGCUAACUCCGUGCCAGCAGCCGCGGUAACAC
rnacentral:rRNA from 1 species